AGUAGUCACGAGUUUGAUCCUGGCUCAGAUUGAACGCUGGCGGCAUGCCUAACACAUGCAAGUCGAACGAGAUCUUCGGAUCUAGUGGCGCACGGGUGCGUAACGCGUGGGAAUCUGCCCUUUGCUUCGGAAUAACAGUUAGAAAUGACUGCUAAUACCGGAUGAUGUCUUCGGACCAAAGAUUUAUCGGCAAAGGAUGAGCCCGCGUAGGAUUAGGUAGUUGGUGGGGUAAAGGCCUACCAAGCCGACGAUCCUUAGCUGGUCUGAGAGGAUGAUCAGCCACACUGGGACUGAGACACGGCCCAGACUCCUACGGGAGGCAGCAGUGGGGAAUAUUGGACAAUGGGCGAAAGCCUGAUCCAGCAAUGCCGCGUGAGUGAUGAAGGCCUUCGGGUCGUAAAGCUCUUUUACCAGGGAUGAUAAUGACAGUACCUGGAGAAUAAGCUCCGGCUAACUCCGUG
rnacentral:rRNA from 1 species